GAUGAACGCUGGCGGCGUGCUUAACACAUGCAAGUCGAACGGUAAGGCCCGAGCUUGCUGUGCUAGACGAGUGGCGAACGGGUGAGUAACACGUGGGCAACCUGCCCCUCACUCUGGGAUAAGCCCUGGAAACUGCGUCUAAUACCGGAUACGAGCUGGGUAGGCAUCUUGUGCAGGUGGGUUUUUGUGCGGUGUGGUGUGGGCGCGGCGCCUAUCAGCUUGUUGGGGGGGUAGCGGCCCACCAAGGCGGCGACGGGUAGCCGGCCUGAGAGGGUGGACGGCCACAUUGGGACUGAGACACGGCGCAGACUCCUACGGGAGGCAGCAGUGGGGAAUAUGGCACAAUGGGCGGAAGCCUGAUGCAGCGACGCCGCGUGGGGGAUGACGGCCUUCGGGUUGUAAACUCCUUUCACCAUCGACGAAGGGUUUCUGACGGUAGAUGGAGAAGAAGCACCGGCUAACUACGUG
rnacentral:rRNA from 1 species